UACGUAGGGUGCAAGCGUUAAUCGGAAUUACUGGGCGUAAAGCGUGCGCAGGCGGCUUUGCAAGACAGAUGUGAAAUCCCCGGGCUUAACCUGGGAACUGCAUUCGGGACUGCUUUGCUAGAGUAUGGGAGAGGGAAGUGGAAUUUCAGGUGUAGCGGUGAAAUGCGUAGAUAUCUGAAGGAACAUCAGUGGCGAAAGCGACUUCCUGGACCAAUACUGACGCUCAUGUGCGAAAGCGUGGGGAGCAAACAGG
rnacentral:rRNA from 1 species